GCCCGGGUGGUGGAACGGUAGACACUCGGCUCUCAAAAAGCCGUGCCCUCAAGGGCGUGUGGGUUCGAGUCCCACCCCGGGCA
rnacentral:tRNA from 1 species